rnacentral:rRNA from 1 species
GAUGAACGCUAGCUACAGGCUUAACACAUGCAAGUCGAGGGGAAACGAUAUUGGAAGCUUGCUUCCGAUAGGCGUCGACCGGCGCACGGGUGAGUAACGCGUAUCCAACCUGCCCAUCACUUGGGGAUAACCUUGCGAAAGUAAGACUAAUACCCAAUGACGUCUCUAGAAGACAUCUGAAGGAGAUUAAAGAUUUAUCGGUGAUGGAUGGGGAUGCGUCUGAUUAGCUUGUUGGCGGGGUAACGGCCCACCAAGGCGACGAUCAGUAGGGGUUCUGAGAGGAAGGUCCCUCACAUUGGAACUGAGACACGGUCCAAACUCCUACGGGAGGCAGCAGUGAGGAAUAUUGGUCAAUGGGCGAGAGCCUGAACCAGCCAAGUAGCGUGCAGGAUGACGGCCCUAUGGGUUGUAAACUGCUUUUAUAAGGGAAUAAAGUGGGAGUCGUGACUCUUUUUGCAUGUACCUUAUGAAUAAGGACCGGCUAAUUCCGUGCCAGCA